rnacentral:rRNA from 1 species
GAUGAGCGCUGGCGGUAUGCCUAACACAUGCAAGUCGUACGCCUCACUUCGGUGAGGAGUGGCGGACGGGUGAGUAACACGUUAGUACCUGCCCCAAAGUGGGGAAUAACUGCCCGAAAGGGUAGCUAAUACCCCAUAGUCUCCGGUUUAUCCGGAGUAAAGAUUUAUCGCUUUGGGAGGGGCUUGCGUUUCGAUUAGCUAGUUGGUGAGGGUAAUGGCCCACCAAGGCGACGAUCAAUAGCUGGAUCGAGAGGUUGACCAGCCACACUGGGACUGAGAUACGGCCCAGACUCCUACGGGAGGCAGCAGUGAGGAAUCUUCCACAAUGGGCGAAAGCCUGAUGGAGCAAUACCGCGUGCAGGAUGAAGCUUUUCGGAGUGUAAACUGCUUUUCUGAAGGAAGAUUAUGACGGUACUUCAGGAAUAAGGAUCGGCUAACUACGUG